rnacentral:rRNA from 1 species
UACGUAGGGUGCGAGCGUUGCCCGGAUUUAUUGGGCGUAAAGGGCGCGUAGGCGGCCACGCACGUCCGUUGUGAAAUCGCCCGGCUCAACUGGGCGGGGUCAGCGGAUACGGUGUGGCUAGAGCAAGCUAGGGGGCAAUGGAAUUCCCGGUGUAGUGGUGGAAUGCGUAGAUAGUCGGGAGGAACACCAAUGGCGAAGGCAGCUCGCAUGGGACGGUACGUGACGCUGGAGACGCGAAAGCGUGGGGAGCAAACAGGG